UUGGCCAAUGAUAGAGGAAGAAAGCUUCCACUUCCGGGAUCAAAGGGCAUGGCUUUUAGGCAAGUUUGAGCAGUGACGUCACUCCCUCCAACACAUUUCCCACCGGCACUGAAGGUGGAGGGUGUCGUUCUCGCGCUCAAAUCCAAUGGGAACCCAACGGAAUUUCCCAUGGCAUGAAAUGCGUGCUGUAGAGUGAUUUCAGUUUCGUAGCAAAAGACGGCGAAGAGAGAGAGAGGUUUCCACCCUAACUGAAGAAACCUUGCACGAAGACAUUGAAAUGGUAUUUGGAGGAGGAGGGAGAUUAAGGACGAUCCCGCGGCCGCUGGAGUUCAGAGGACGAGGCUGUCGCCUUGCCAACCCCUGUUGGGCUGCAGCUUGAUUGAACCAAAUCUUGCCACUGACGCUGGCAGAGCACGUUUCCUCUGUGCAGUAACACAGGUACCCCACCGAGGGAGAGUGGAUUAUUUUUACCUGCAGAAACAGACCCGGGUUUUGUAACUUGUCUCCGGUGGUGUCAGCGGAAAGACUACUCAGGCGGAAUCACUCUGAGGAACUUCGGGCCAAAUCUCUAAAACUAUUCUUCUCAGCUUUUGCAAGUACUUCGGAUUUACGAGAGCCAAUGAGGAAUCGGAAUCUAAAGACCCAACCCGGUGCCGUCUCAGGAUGGUGUCCUGGCAUAAGGAGGGCUCCAAAAUCUUCAGGGAAUUUGUUUUCUCGUGUUAACUAACUAUAGCAAACCUUAGGUAUUAAAGAAAGCCCCUUUUUAUUUAUUAAGUCUAUUUAAUAAUACCCCUUUGGAGACGGUGUUCUAUCAACAUGCAUAACUGCGUGUGCAUCUUUAUUCUGAAAUCUUAGGUUGUGCUCAGAGGGGAAAUAAGAAAAUCAAAUACAAGUUUAAUGGCAAUGCAACAGACAAUCCUUUUGUCUCUUUUGAGUCCCUUUUAGAGAAGGAGAAAUUCUAUUUAUGGUUUCCACGUUGAAAGAGAGGCCUCCACACUUCUUUUCUUACCUUGUGCAGUUCGGAGUCUAUAUUUUCUGGGUAUGAAAAUGGAUAGCAGAACAGAAGACAAAUAUGCUAUAUAGAUUAAUCCUUAAACAAUUUAGAAUAUUUUCUAGUGAUGGUAACAACAAUCCGAAAACCAGCCAUGGUCAUGAGAUGUUCAGUCAACAUUAAUCCUUCCUCUUACAUAGAACGUAUUAUAUAUGGACGUACAUAUUUAUAAUUGAAAGGGAGUUCUCAUUGAACUUUUUGAAGAAAUGUGAAAUAUAAACUAAUGAUCUGAGUUCGCCUGUAGACACAGGUUUUUCCUCUGUUAUUGUACAAGUCCCUAGUCUGUAAAAAUUAAAUUUGAUGUCAUAGGCAAAUGUAUAUAGGGAAUACUUUUCGAGAUGCUGACUACGUACAUUUCUCCAGUUAAUUAGUUAGAUCAGAGUACAAAAUGGUCAUGGUUGUUUAUUUGUAGCUAAAAACACCGGAUUCAUGUAAUAAAAGAAACAACCUAUACAUAUUUUUAAUAAACAAAUAAUCCUGGUCGAUACAGAAAAUUAUCAGAAAAUGGAGCAACACCGCCCUCUAGUGGUAAAAUGAAAUCUUGAUCGACAAUCCAGGUUUAGCGCCACCAUGUUUAUGCUUUUUCUACAAAAUAUGUGGAAGAAAUGUAUUUGGAAGAAACACCUGAUUGUUUCUAAUAAAAUGUUUCCUUUUUGUGGGCUAAAGAUAGCCAAAUUCAUGCAAAAAAACCCUCCAAGGAGCGUGCAAUUGCUACAAAGAAUCACAAAUAUUCUUUAUAUUCACAACUAAGAAGGGGUUAUUGUAUACGCGAAGUUUUACAUCUCGAGUGACAGGGAAACCUUUACAGUAACAUAUACAAUGUUGCCUUUUGUUGUGAAGAGCGUAAGACUUUAAUUCAUAGGCAUUUUACUUAACUAAAGAAAUGCCUUUUUAUACCUAAUGAAGUUAAAGAGAGAUAAUAUACUGUUUAAAUGUAGAUUGUAUGAAAUCAAAACUUUCGGUUUUGUUGUAUGUUUUCGUGAUGAUUAUAAGUUUUCUGCCAUAAACGUGUCUAUUUCGUUAUAUUUCCA